rnacentral:rRNA from 1 species
UACGGAGGAUGCAAGCGUUAUCCGGAAUGAUUGGGCGUAAAGCGUCCGCAGGUGGCAAUGUAAGUCUGCUGUCAAAGCGUCUGGCUCAACCAGAUAAAGGCAGUGGAAACUACAUAGCUAGAGUAAGGUAGGGGUAGAGGGAAUUCCUGGUGUAGCGGUGAAAUGCGUAGAGAUCCGGAGGAACACCAGUGGCGAAGGCGACACGCUGGGCCGUACCUGACGCUAAAGCGCGACAGCAUGGGGAGCAAACGGG